AUGGACGUGACCUGGAGUAAGAGUGGAAAUAAUAUAAGUGAAGACAAUAAGACAGACUUCCCGCCUGUCCUGGCCUCCACGGGCCGGUACACCAUGAUCAGCCGGUUGACCCUGUUAGCUGACCAGUGCCCAGCUGACGAUUUUGUGACAUGCUCCGUGGAACACGACUCUGAUCCCGCCAAAGAUGUGGAAGUGCCCUGCACAAUACCUGUUCCCCCACCAGAUUGCUGCGAAUCCCGCCUGACACUGCUCCGGCCAGCUCUCGAGGACCUGCUCAUGGGUUCAGAGGCCAGCCUCACAUGUACAGUGAGGGGCGUGAAAAAGGGCGAGAUACCCGUUUUCACCUGGCAGCCCAGCACUGGGAAGGACGCAGUGACGAAGGAACCUGUGCUGGACGCCUGCGGCUGCUACAGUGUGUCCAGCGUCCUGCCUGGCUGUGCUGAGCGCUGGAACAGUGGGGAGAAGUUCACGUGCACAGUUAAACUCCCUGGCCAGUCUGACACCCUAACUGCCACAAUUGCCAAAGUCACAGACCCCUUGCUACCCCAGGUCCACCUGCUGCCGCCGCCGUCGGAGGAGCUGGCCCUGAAUGAGCUGGUGUCCCUGACAUGCCUGGUGCGAGGAUUCUACCCUGAAGAUGUGCUGGUGCGUUGGCUGCAUGGAAACCAGGAGCUGUCUCGUGAAAACUACCUGGUGUGGAAACCCAAGAAGGAACUAGGCGAGGGUCCCACCACCUAUGCAGUGACGAGCGUGCUGCGUGUGCCUGCUGAUGCGUGGAAACAGGGUGACAACUACUCCUGCAUGAUUGGCCACGAGGCUUUGCCCAUGGGCUUCACCCAGAAGACCAUCGACCGUCACGCGGGUAAACCCACCCAAGUCAAUGUGACUGUGAUCACGUCAGAGGCAGAUGGCGUCUGCUACUGA